AUUUUUCUAGUAUAAAUAGUACAUUUGACUUCCAAUCAAAAAGAUUGAAACAUCAAGAAAAAUA
rnacentral:tRNA from 1 species